rnacentral:rRNA from 1 species
UGUGACCUACGGGAGGCAGCAGUAGGGAAUCUUCGGCAAUGGGCGAGAGCCUGACCGAGCAACGCCGCGUGUAUGAAGAAGGCCUUCGGGUUGUAAAAUUCUGUUAUAAGGGAAGAAAGGUGAUAGGAGGAAAUGACUAUCAAUUGACGGUACCUUAUGAGAAAGCCACGGCUAACUACGUGCCAGCAGUCGCGGUAAUACGUAGGUGGCAAGCGUUAUCCGGAAUUAUUGGGCGUAAAGAGCGCGCAGGCGGUUAAUUAAGUCUGAUGUGAACGCCCACGGCUUAACCGUGGAGGGUCAUUGGG